CCUAAAUGAAUUAUAAUUUCCCCCCAUUCUUUCUUGAAUUUCUUGUCUUCUUGGUCCCUGAGCUUUCUGGUCAGUUUUGCCAUUUCGGCGUAGUCUAACAGCUUGGUUUGCCAUUCCUCUCUGGUAGGGACUCUUUCUUCUUUCCAUCUCCGAACUAGUAGUAUAUGUGCUGCUGUUGUCGCAUACAUAAAAAGUAUUUUCUGUUCAAACACACACACACACACACACACACACACAGUCAUACCUUGGAUCCCAAACGCCUUGCGAGUUGAACAUUUUGGCUCCCAAAUGUCUCAAACCCAGAAGUGAGUGUUCCGGUUUGCAAACAUUCUUUGGAACCCAAACAUCCGACACGGCUUCCGUGGCUUCCGAUUGGCUGCAGGAGCUUCUUGUGGCCAAUCAGAAGCCUUGACUUGGUUUCCAAGUGUUUUGGAAGUCGAACGGACUUCCGGAACAGAUUCCGUUCGACUUCCAAGGUACCACUGUAUAUAUAUACACACACAACAACAACAACAUCCAGCUCCUGUGACUAUCUGGGAAGAGAAAGCUUCAAACGCACCAUGAAAACAGCCUGUUCAGCCCCUGGCAGUGGAGAAGCCUUUCACAUUGCUCUCUAAUGAGCCCCUUUGGCUGAUGAGAAGCAUAACACUGACAGGCUCCAGAUGCUGUAGUCGUCAGCCCUCCACAUCUCCAGGCAGCUCUUUCUCUGCCUGAAGUUAAAGGGAGUUAAAGGGAGCCCUGCUGUUGUUGUGGACGGAGGUGGGAUCGAGACCUCUGAGAGCUCCUGAUGAAACUGGAGGACCUUGGUGAGUUGACAGAGUCACUGAAAUACCUCCAAGUUUUCCUUUCCUUUGUGGCUCAGAUAAUGGACACAGAUAUGGGACCAGGGCCUUUUUUUUCUUUCAACCGGAGCUCGAAGGAGCUCAGUUCUGGCCCCUCUCAGGCAGGAGCCAUUGCCAUUCUAAGAGAACAAGGGAGAAGUUCAUGGUGAGCUCUGGCACCUCUUUGUCUAGAAAAAUAGCUCUGUAUGGAGCUAAAGACUAGUAGCUUGCCGUGCCUUGGGGAGUUCUGGGUGCCACAAUUUAAGAAGAAUAUUGGCAAGCUGGGAUGUGGGCAGAGGAGGGUGACGGAGAUGAUCAAGGGUCUGGAAACCAAGCCCUGAUAUGACAUUGGGACGUAGCAUGCAGUGUGAUGUACGUGACUUCGCCCCCCCCCCAUCUCCCUCACAAGUUGGCGCCUCUGUUGGGCAGCGCCAUUGUCGCUCCUCUGCCUUUAAUGCCCACGGCAAAGUCAGAGAUUUGAGGCAGAUGGGACAGAAACGGUGAUCUCAUCUAUAAGAAAUACAGUACUUCGCCAUUUGUUUUAGGGGUAACCCGCCCUUGUGAGGAUCACCCGUAUCUGUCGUGAUUAGAUCCUGUAUUUAUUUAUUUAUUUAUUUAUUUAUUCAUACAUACAUACAUACCCUGCCAUCUGGCUGGGUUUCCCCAGUCACUCUGGGCGGCUCCCCACAGAAUAUUAAAAACACGAUAAAACAGCAAACAUUAAAAAGUUCUCUAAACAGGGCUGCCUUCAGAUGUCUUCUAAAAGUCAGCUGUUUCCUUGACAUCUGAUGGGAGGGCGUUCAACAGGGCGGGUGCCACUACCAUGAAGGCCCUCUGCCUGGUUCCCUGCAGCUUCACUUCUCGCAGUGAAGGAACCCCCAGAAGGCCCUCAGCACUGGACCUCAGUGUCCGGACUGAACGACGGGGGUGGAGACACUCCUUCAGGUAUACUGUGUCUUAUUGUUUCCUUUCCCCCAAUACCAUCCUUGGUGUGAAACAGCGUACAUAUUGUUUUGACCAGAAUCCAUUAUUCAGUCCAUUCAUUUCUCGCCGGAGAUUCGUAACUGGGGGAAAGAGUUGAGGAACGGGUGGCAAGGGAUGGGUGGGGAAAUACCACUGGUGAGGAGCAUCGCCAGCAUGAACGGUCACCCCUGUUGUCCCACCAAAACCGCAAAAUUCUGGGAUAAUACAGGUGGUGGGGAGAGAUUGAGAAACGCGGGUGGCUUGCUUCAGAUUCACUGUAAACACUGUACACUGACACCACGCAACAGAGGGCUACAUUAAUGUUCAGCACACAUGGCUCUCAUCCUACUUCGUGCAUGGGAUGCUGGCUACAGAAGGGGCUUCCAAUUUUUAAAAAGAAAAAUGACCAAAAGCUUAGCUGUUAGCCCAGAGUACAGCUCCUAACAACUGAAAGCUGAAUAAUUAAAUUAAAAGAGGAUUAUAUCCUGCAGGCAAACGAAAUAAUGUCUCCUGCAGGUAUUGGCAAGGCGGCAAUGUUUCCACCUCCCUCCCACCCCCGCUGCUGAACUCAGCAGCAUGGGGGUACGAAAAUACCACUCCCCCGGUCUUAAUAGUUAUUUUAAAAAUAUUCAUAGCCAAGGGUAAAAUGGUUGGCAAUAAUACGCCUUGCCUUCAUUAUAAAUAACACUUGUUUCUAGUGCAAGGAGAGUAAUAACAAGCAGGACUGGUCUGCAACAAAAUGUGGCAGUCUUGUGUAUUCCACUUUAGGAUGCUCGCUAGCCAGCCAGCCAGCCAGCCAGCCAAACCCUUUCCCAAGAGGCUCCAUUCCGUGACCACUUCCCUGUGGUUUUCUACUCCCUCCUUGCCUCAACAUGACAUCAACAUUCCAUAGCCACUGAGCAUGCUCAGUCCUCCUCAUGGAGAUGUUUUUGUAUAGUCCCCCACCCCUAAAUAUAUUUUGGUUUACUUUUUGCAGUUUCCUCACAACCUUUCCUUUCCCCCUCUCGUGUGCAAAUAAUGUCGUGUUGGUCCCUUGGAGAAUGUGUUUGUUAUUAGGGCAUUCCAUCUGGAACGAUGAUUCUGUUCUGUUUCUAAACUCCCAGGACAAGACCAAUUCCUGCAUCUCUCUCGCUCAAGCCAGCCACUUCUUCAUCCUCCAAUCAUUCUGCUCUCCCUUCAUCCUCUGACCUGUGUCACACCACCAAUCCCCUGGCUCUUGUUAGAUUUCUGUUGCGUGUGUAGGUCCCUAAGCCACCCCUCAAAAUAAUUCACACAUCACACGUAAUUUAAGUUUAAGGUUUUUGGGCACUCUUUUGGCCACAACUUUAUUAAAAUACAAAAUCGGUGAGUGGUUGCUUAGACAUUGGUUAUGACUAUCUGUCCCCCCGCCUGGGACAGAACUGACAUUCCGAACUCCAUCGGAAGCCAGUGAAGGGAAAGGCAAUGUUGGGGAUCAGUUGAGGUGAGCGUCAGUCCCUCACCACUCACCCAACCAGCACCCCAAGGCUUGCUGGUCCUGGUCCCAUUUCAGGGAUUGGAAGAAAUCGUGGCAAGCCCCAGGAUUCCUUUAACGGAAUUCCCUUCCAGCACCAUUGGAGGGGCAGGCACAGCCUAUCCUGACCCCUCCACCACCAGCUUUUUAUAACCAAUGCCUAACCGCAACCUUACAAGUUGUGACGAAUUGCUAAGUAGUAGGCAAAAACGAAGUGGCACCAGCCAAUCAGCCAAAUUGCAAAAUUCCUACUAGGUCCCAUGACAGGCAAAGCAAGGUCAACCGGAACACGGGGAGGGCGGAUGGGUGAUCCGAUGCACUCUGCUAAAGAGAAAGCAAAAGGCAGAGUGCCCCAAUAUUUAAAGACUAUGGUCCCAUCCACCAAUUCGCUACAUGCAAUUUGCCCCAGCAACCCAUUCAGCCAAUCGUUGCACCAGGCAAUAGCCAUUAACCUGCCUGGCAACAGAGGGCUGGCCUGGCGGCCCACACCGCAACCCAUGCUCUCAUUUUAGGGAGAACACGCUUUAUGCCGCUGUGCAGUUUUUGGAGUCACAAGACUCUGUUGACAUUCCAGACUGUUGGAAGUCUCACGGGAGACAGGAGACGGAUGUUGAUGUUACUGGUUUCCUGUUUCUUUGCUCCUUGUUGUUCACUGUCUCUCACAGAGAGCAGACGCAUAUUCUUUCUGUCCUGAGUAGUUAGAAAUAAACGUAGGAAUGUAGCACAUAUUUCGGCUCCUUUUGCUGCUGUCUGGAUACUCUGGGUAAUGGGAGAGUGCCUGAAGCCUCAUUAAAGGCUUAGGUCGUUAAUCACCAUCAGAGCAGAGGUCCAUGGAUUCCGAAGGUACGACGAGGAGGAGAGCCAUUACAGCUCAGUCGUACGGAAGCUCCGACAUUUCAGAGCCUUCCUUACAUGGGAUCAAUUCCAAUCUGUUGCCUCCAAGGAUGUGGACAGGCUGCUUGGACAAGUGAAACCGACCACCUGUCUCCUUGAUCCUUACCCAUCCUGGCUGAUAAAAGCGAGCCAGGAAGGGCUGGGUGAUGGGCUCUGCGGGGUGGUGAAUGCUUCCCUCUGUGAUUGAGCGGGUGGUUGCUGAACAACUCCAAGCACGCCUGGAGGAAACGGACCAUUUGGAUCCCUUCCAAUCGGGAUUCAGGCCUCACCAUGGGACUGAAACUGCCUUGGUCGCGCUGGUUGAUGAUCUCCGGCGGGCUAGGGACAAAGGUGAGAGCUGUUUCCUAGUUCUGCUGGAUCUCUCAGCGGCCUUUGACACCAUCGACCAUAACAUCCUUCUGGACCGUCUAGAGGGGCUGGGAGCUGGGGGCACUGUCAUACAGUGGUUCCGCUCCUUCCUCCUGGGCCGUGUCCAGAAAGUGGGGGGGGGAUGAGUGUUCAGACCCCUGGGCUCUCACUUGUGGGGUGCCUCAGGGUUCUGUCCUCUCCCCCAUGCUUUUCAACAUUUACAUGCAGCCACUGGGAGAGAUCAUCAGGGGGUUUGGACUGGGUGUUCAUCAGUAUGCAGAGGACACCCAGCUCUACCUCUCCUUUAAAUCAGAACCAGUGAAGGAGGUGAAGGUCCUGUGUGAGUGCCUGGAGGCGGUUGGAGGAUGGAUGGCGGCUAACAGAUUGAGGUUGAAUCCUGACAAGACAGAAGUACUGUUUUUGGGGGACAGGGAGCGGGUUGGUGUGGGGGACUCCCUGGUCCUGAAUGGGGUAACUGUGCCCCUGAAGGAGCAGGUGCGCAGCCUGGGAGUCAUUUUGGACUCACAGCUGUCCAUGGAGGCAUAGGUGAAUUCUGUGUCCAGGGCAGCUGUUCACCAGCUCCAUCUGGUGCGCAGAAUGAGACCCUAUCUGCCUGCAGACUGUCUCACCAGAGUGGUGCAUGCUCUAGUUAUCUCUCGCUUAGACUACUGCAAUGCGCUCUAUGUGGGGCUACCUUUGAAGGUGACCUGGAAACUACAACUAAUUGAGAAUGCAGCAGCUAGACUGGUGACUGGGGGCGGCCGCCAAGACCACAUAGCACCGGUCUUGAAAGACCAACAUUGGCUCCCAGUACGUUUCCGAGCACAAUUCAAAGUGUUGGUGCUGACCUUUAAAGCCCUCAACGGCCUUGGUCUAGUAUACCUGAAGGAGCGUCUCCACCCCCAUCAUUCUGCCCAGACACUGAGGUCCAGCUCCGAGGGCCUUCUGGUGGUUCCCUCACUGCGAGAAGUGAGGCUACAGGGAACCAGACAGAGGGCCUUCUCGGUAGUGGCGCCCGCCCUGUGGAACGCCCUCCCAUCAGAUGUCAAAGAGAUAAAUAAUUACCUGACAUUCAGAAGACAUCUUAAGGCAGCCCUGUUCAGGGAAGUUUUUAAUAUGUAACGCUGUACUGUUUUUAACACUGAUUGGGAGCCGCCCAGAGUGGCUGGGGAAACUCAGCCAGAUGGGCGGGGUAUAAAUAAUAAAUUAUUAUAAUAUUAUUUUUAUUAUUCCUCUUCUGGGACUUUCCUAGGCUGGAGUCUCCUAGCACUCCCCUUAAUUCAGCCAGCCCUUGACAGGUUUGGGGUCAGUGACCACCAUAUAUACAGGGUGAUUCAUAAUGAAGUAUACAGAUUCCAAAUGCUGUAAGACAUUAGCAUCAUCAGGCCAAAGUUACAGACCCUGAAACUGCGUCUUGCACGUUUCGUGCUGACGAGCGCCUCAAAAUCAAGGACAGAAAUAAUCAAGAGUUCACGACAAAGGUAAGUUGGGCAAGCUAGAUUGGAAACAAUCACACUCAUCCAUGAUGAAGAAACAAGCAAAUCAAUAUACGUGGUCCUGAUAAAUCUUGUAAAAACAGAAUGUGAUUGCAUCGGACUCCAGUAUCGACCUAUCAAUAUAACGAAGGGCACUGGUGGUCUUGCUCAGUACAAGGGACUUUCCUAUGUUCUUAUCUGGCUGGCCAAAGUGGGAAAUGUGAGGCUGUGGACAGGAGUCACCAACAAUUCAAAGUGUUGGUGCUGACCUUUAAAGCCCUCAACGGCCUUGGCCCAGUAUACCUGAAGGAGCGUCUCCACCUCCAUUGUUCAGCCCGGACACUGAGGUCCAGCUCCUAGGGCCUUCUGGUGGUUCCCUCACUGCGAGAUGUGAGGUUACAGGGAACCAGGCAGAGGGCCUUCUUGGUAGUGGAGCCCGCCCUGUGGAACGCCCUCCCAUCAGAUGUCAAGGAGAUAAACAACUAUCUGCCUUUUAGAAGACAUCUGAAGGCAGCCUUGUUUAGGGAAGUUUUUAAUGUUUGAUGGUUGACUCCUCCUGCUAAGCCAGAAUGAACAUUGGUCUGAUUCAACAGGGCUCUGAAUUUUGACAGAGACACUUGCACCCAACCAAUGAGCGCAUGCUCACUCGCACAAAAAGAGCAGUUUCUGAUAUUACCGCAUUCUUGCACAUUUGUGGCGGGGGUGUCUUUUUCGGAAGUAUAUUCAGCCUGCCCGUUUUGUCGGGAAAGAAAAUUGCACCCUGAUUGCUGGUUUUUCAAAGGUGUGUCAGCACUGUUGCCGUGAUUUAAUCAGUUAAUGAUGGCCUUUAAAAGCAGCGCUUUCAUUUGUUUGUUUGUUUCUUUUAUCGGCAAAGCUCUUUAUCAGGAGGCCAAGGCCAAAGUCUACUGUGCUUUCCAGCUCCCUAACCAAAUUCAACAAACAGGAAAAGGAAUAAAGGGAAAGGGGCAAACUGAACUCAUAGGUAACUGGGAUUAUUUAAACCGCAAAGCCAAUUUAAGUAGGUGCUUCUGUGUGUAUGUAUGUCUGUGUGUAUGUCUGUGUCCUAGAUCCAGUUUCAAAUGCACAAGCAGAAGGUCUCACUCGUAAGUAAGCAAGAUACCUUUAUUUGGGCAUGUAAUGGUACAGACUCAGCUGCAGACACGGGGCUCAGGAAUCGCAGCUCAGGUGUUCAAGAACAGAGCAAGAAGUUGUACGCUGCAACAGCGGCAAGGGUCUUGAUAGCACAAGGAUGGAAGAAUGAGGAAACCCUGACAAAAGAACAGUGGCAAGAGAAAUUGAUGAACUAUGCAGAACUGGCGAAACUGACCUACAAACUGCGAGAUAAGGACAACUGUGACUUCAAAGAAGAAUGGGACCUUUUUACAAAUUACUUAAAAAGACAACAAAAUGAAUUGGACUCCUUGGCAGGUUUUGAAUAAACAUACACAAAUGUAUUGAUUGUUAACACAGUAAAUAGAUAAGUGCUACCUCGGGUUAAGUACUUAAUUCGUUCCGGAGGUCCGUUCUUAACCUGAAACUGUUCUUAACCUGAAGCACCACUUUAGCUAAUGAGGCCUCCCACUGCUACUGCGCCACUGGAGCACAAUUUCUGUUCUCAUCCUGAAGCAAAGUUCUUAACCUGAAGCACUAUUUCUGGGUUAGCGGAGUCUGUAACCUGAAGCGUCUGUAAUCUGAAGCAUAUGUAACCCGAGCUACAACUGUAUAAGGAUUUAUACAAUUUUACAGUAUGUAGAGAAUAAUAUGUGUUGAGAAAUCAGAGAGAGGAGCUGAGGGAAGUCUCGGGGGAGGGAGGGAGAGUUCAAUGAGGAGGUGGGGGGAAAAGGGGGGAAAUAAUGAAUAUGAUAUGUUUUGAUAUUUUGUUAUGUUGAAAUUGUUAAUAAUUUUUUUUUUUUUUUAAAGAGCAGAGCAAGAAGUUCAGGACAGAAGUGGCAAUGAUAUACCAACAAGUUUCCACACCCAAACUGCCAAGCUUUUUAAAGAUGAGGUGUGACAUGCUCACUCCCGAGACAUGCUCACCUUGCAGGAAGACUCCUCCAACCUCCACUAAGGUUCUCCACUCUGCAGGACAUUUGGGGAAAGUCCUAACAGCCCUGUGGGAGUCAUCAUGCCAUCCUGUGUCUGUCGAGGGUGAUGGGCUUGUGUUUGUUUCUGUUUGUGAGAGGGAGAAAGAUGGUGAGGAAGAAAGUCAUCUGUGAAUGUUAUUGUUUGUGAGAGAGGAAGGGAGGGAAAGGGAUGCUAUCUGGCCCCUCCCAGUCCCGCUCCCAUCGGCCCACAGCCCCAGACCAACUGCCAAUCACUGCACAGGGCCUUCAGGGGGAAAGAUGCUCGAUAUGGGGAACCACAGAGCAUGGAUAUUUACACAGAAAAACUUCCUGUGUCCAAAUUUUCCCUCUUUAAAGGUAAAGGUAAAGGGACCCCUGACCAUUAGGUCCAGUCGUGACCAACUGUGGGGUUGCGGUGCUC